ACGAACGCUGGCGGCGUGCUUAACCCAUGCAAGUCGAACGGAAAGGCCCUGCUUUUGUGGGGUGCUCGAGUGGCGAACGGGUGAGUAACACGUGAGUAACCUGCCCUUGACUUUGGGAUAACUUCAGGGAACUGGGGCUAAUACCGGAUAGGAGCUCCUGCUGCAUGGUGGGGGUUGGAAAGUUUCGGCGGUUGGGGAUGGACUCGCGGCUUAUCAGCUUGUUGGUGGGGUAGUGGCUUACCAAGGCUUUGACGGGUAGCCGGCCUGAGAGGGUGACCGGCCACAUUGGGACUGAGAUACGGCCCAGACUCCUACGGGAGGCAGCAGUGGGGAAUAUUGCACAAUGGGCGGAAGCCUGAUGCAGCAACGCCGCGUGCGGGAUGACGGCCUUCGGGUUGUAAACCGCUUUCGCCUGUGACGAAGCGUGAGUGACGGUAAUGGGUAAAGAAGCACCGGCUAACUACGCG
rnacentral:rRNA from 1 species